rnacentral:rRNA from 1 species
UGGAGCCAACCUUGAAAUACCACCCUUUAAUGUUUGAUGUUCUAACGUAGCCCCGUUAUCCGGGGUGCGGACAGUGUCUGGUGGGUAGUUUGACUGGGGCGGUCUCCUCCCAAAGAGUAACGGAGGAGCACGAAGGUUGGCUAAGCAUGGUCGGACAUCAUGCGGUUAGUGCAAAGGCAUAAGCCAGCUUGACUGCGAGAGUGACGGCUCGAGCAGGUACGAAAGUAGGUCUUAGUGAUCCGGUGGUUCUGAAUGGAAGGGCCAUCGCUCAACGGAUAAAAGGUACUCCGGGGAUAACAGGCUGAUACCGCCCAAGAGUUCAUAUCGACGGCGGUGUUUGGCACCUCGAUGUCGGCUCAUCACAUCCUGGGGCUGAAGUAGGUCCCAAGGGUACGGCUGUUCGCCGUUUAAAGUGGUACGCGAGCUGGGUUUAGAACGUCGUGAGACAGUUCGGUCCCUAUCUGCCGUGGGCGUUGGAAGAUUGAAAGGGGCUGCUCCUAGUACGAGAGGACCGGAGUGGACGCACCACUGGUGUUCGGGUUGUCAUGCCAAUGGCAUUGCCCGGUAGCUAAGUGCGGAAGAGAUAACCGCUGAAAGCAUCUAAGCGGGAAACUUGCCUUGAGAUGAGUCUUCCCUGACCCUUUAAGGGUCCUAAAGGAACGUUUAAGACUAAGACGUUGAUAGGUUGGGUGUGUAAGCGUAGCGAUACGUUGAGCUAACCAAUACUAAUGAACCGUGAGGCUUAACCUG